AGUGACCGAUAGUGAACCAGUACCGUGAGGGAAAGGUGAAAAGAACCCCGGGAGGGGAGUGAAAGAGAACCUGAAACCAUAUGCCUACAAGAAGUCAGAGCCCGUUAAAGGGUGAUGGCGUGCCUUUUGUAGAAUGAACCGGCGAGUUACUGUAUGGAGCGAGGUUAAGCAGGAUAUGCGGAGCCGAAGCGAAAGCGAGUCUUAAGAGGGCGCGAGUUGCAUGCAGUAGACCCGAAACCGGGUGAUCUAGCCAUGACCAGGUUGAAGUUGGGGUAAAACCCGAUGGAGGACCGAACCGACCCCCGUUGAAACGUUGGCGGAUGAGUUGUGGCUAGGGGUGAAAUUCCAAUCGAACCCGGAGAUAGCUGGUUCUCCCCGAAAUAGCUUUAGGGCUAGCGUCGAGAGAAGAGUUGCGUGAAGGUAGAGCACUGAAUAUGUGAUGGCCCCAUCUCGGGGUACUGAGCAUAAUCAAACUGCGAAUGUCACGAGAACAUGCUCGGCAGUCAGACAGCGGGUGAUAAGGUCCGUUGUCAAGAGGGAAACAGCCCAGACCAUCAGCUAAGGUCCCAAAAUGUAUGCUAAGUGGAAAAGGAUGUGGAGAUGUACAGACAACUAGGAGGUUGGCUCAGAAGCAGCCAUCCUUUAAAGAGUGCGUAACAGCUCACUAGUCGAAUGACUCUGCGCCGAUAAUUUACCGGGGCUAAGCAUACUACCGAAGCUAUGGAUCCCAAGGGAUGGUAGGGGAGCGUUCCAUGAACGGAGAAGUACGACCGAAAGGACGUGUGGAGAUCAUGGAAGAGAGAAUGCCGGUGUGAGUAGCGGAACGUGGGUGAGAAUCCCACGCACCGAAAACCCAAGGUUUCCAGAGGAAGGUUCGUCCGCUCUGGGUAAGUCGGGACCUAAGGCGAGGCCGAAAGGCGUAGUCGAUGGACAACAGGUAGAGAUUCCUGUACCCGUAUAUAUGUGAAGGAAUGACGGAGAGAGGAAGCUGCAGCCAGCGGCUGGAAGAGCUGGUGCAAGCGAGAUAUCGGGAUGGCAGGCAAAUCCACCAUCCGAAACGAGAAGGCGUGAAGCGUACGGAAAGCUACGGCGAGUACGGAAGGCAGUGGAGGAACUUCCAAGAAAAGUUUCUAACGUUAAGUAUAUAUGGCCCGUACCGAAAAUGGACACACAUGGGUGAGGAGAGAAUCCUAAGGUGAGCGAGAGAACUAUAGCUAAGGAACUCUGCAAAAUGACUCCGUAACUUAGGGAGAAGGAGUGCUCAUAGAGAUAUGAGCCGCAGUGAAACGGCCCAAGCGACUGUUUACCAAAAACACAGCUCUCUGCUAAGCCGCAAGGCGAAGUAUAGGGGGUGACGCCUGCCCGGUGCUGGAAGGUUAAGGGGAGGGGUUAACGCAAGUGAAGCCCUGAACUGAAGCCCCAGUAAACGGCGGCCGUAACUAUAACGGUCCUAAGGUAGCGAAAUUCCUUGUCAGGUAAGUUCUGACCCGCACGAAAGGCGUAACGAUUUGGGCGCUGUCUCAGCUGUAGACUCGGUGAAGUCUUAGUACCUGUGAAGAUGCAGGUUACCCGCGACUAGACGGAAAGACCCCAUGGAGCUUCACUGCAGGUUGAUAUUGGGAUUUGAUGCAGCAUGUACAGGAUAGGUAGGAGGCAAAGAGAUGGAUACGCCAGUAUUCAAGGAGCCGCUGUUGGGAUACUACCCCUGUUGUAUUGGAUUUCUAACCGGACGACGUAGAGCCGUUGACGGGACAGUGUCAGUCGGGCAGUUUGACUGGGGCGGUCGCCUCCCAAAGAGUAACGGAGGCGCCCAAAGAUACCCUCAGCUUGGAUGGAAACCAAGCGCAGAGUGCAAAGGCAAAAGGGUGUUUGACUGCGAGACCCACAAGUCGAGCAGGGACGAAAGUCGGGCUUAGUGAUCCGGCGGUGCUGAAUGGAAAGGCCGUCGCUCAACGGAUAAAAGCUACCCUGGGGAUAACAGGCUGAUCUCCCCCAAGAGU
rnacentral:rRNA from 1 species